rnacentral:rRNA from 1 species
UACGGGGGGGGCAAGCGUUGUUCGGAAUUACUGGGCGUAAAGGGCGCGUAGGCGGUUUGCUAAGUUGAAUGUGAAAACUCUGGGCUUAACCCAGAGCCUGCAUUCAAUACUGGCAGGCUAGAGUUCUGGAGGGGAUAGCGGAAUUCCUGGUGUAGCGGUGAAAUGCGUAGAUAUCAGGAGGAACACCGGUGGCGAAGGCGGCCAACUGGUCCGGAUCUGACGCUGAGGCGCGAAAGCGUGGGGAGCAAACAGG